rnacentral:rRNA from 1 species
CUGCUGCCUCCCGUAGGAGUCUGGUCCGUGUCUCAGUACCAGUGUGGGGGACCUUCCUCUCAGAACCCCUACGCAUCGUCGCCACGGUGGGCCGUUACCCCGCCGUCUAGCUAAUGCGCCGCAUGCCCAUCCUCUUCCGAUGAACCUUUCCUCGAUCUCGGAUGCCCGAAACCGAUAUACGCGGGAUUAGCCUCCCUUUCGGAAGGUUGUCCCCCUGAAGAGGGCAGGUUGCAUACGUGUUACUCACCCGUGCGCCGGUCGCCGGCAAAGG